rnacentral:rRNA from 1 species
CCUACGGGGUGCUGCAGUGGGGAAUAUUGGACAAUGGGCGAAAGCCUGAUCCAGCCAUGCCGCGUGUGUGAAGAAGGCCUUCGGGUUGUAAAGCACUUUCAGUGGGGAAGAAAGCCUUGGGGCUAAUACCCUCGAGGAAGGACAUCACCCACAGAAGAAGCACCGGCUAACUCCGUGCCAGCAGCCGCGGUAAUACGGAGGGUGCGAGCGUUAAUCGGAAUUACUGGGCGGAAAGCGCGCGUAGGCGGUCUGAUAAGCCGGUUGUGAAAGCCCCGGGCUCAACCUGGGAACGGCAUCCGGAACUGUCAGGCUAGAGUGCAGGAGAGGAAGGUAGAAUUCCCGGUGUAGCGGUGAAAUGCGUAGAGAUCGGGAGGAAUACCAGUGGCGAAGGCGGCCUUCUGGACUGACACUGACGCUGAGGUGCGAAAGCGUGGGUAGCAAACAGGAUUAGAUACCCUGGUAGUC